UGGGUUGCAACUGAACUUAAAGGUCACAGAACCAUGGAACCCCAGAACUGCUUGGGUUGGAAUGGGUCCUUAAAGAUCACAGAACCAUGGAACCCUAGAACUGGUUGGGAUGGAAUGGUCCUUAAAGAUCACAGAGCCAUGGAACCCCAGAACUGGCUGGGUUGGAAUGGGUCCUUAAAGGUCACAGAACCAUGGAACCCCAGAACUCUUGGGUUGGAAUGGACCUUAAAGGUCACAGAACCAUGGAACCCUACAACUGGCUGGGUUGGAAUGGAACUUAAAGGUCACAGAACCAUGGAACCCUAGAACUGCUUGGGUUGGAAUGGUCCUUAAAGGUCACAGAACCAUGGAACCCCAGAACUGGUUGGGUUGGAAUGGUCCUUAAAGGUCACAGAACCAUGGAACCCCAGAACUGGUUGGGUUGGAAUGGAACUUAAAGGUCACAGAACCAUGGAACCCCAGAACUGCUUGGGUUGGAAUGGUCCUUAAAGGUCACAGAACCAUGGAACCCUAGAACUGGCUGGGUUGGAAUGGUCCUUAAAGGUCACAGAACCAUGGAACCCCAGAACUGGCUGGGUUGGAAUGGUCCUUAAAGGUCACAGAACCAUGGAACCCUAGAACUGCUUGGGUUGGAAUGGUCCUUAAAGGUCACAGAACCAUGGAACCCCAGAACUGGUUGGGUUGGAAUGGUCCUUAAAGGUCACAGAACCAUGGAACCCCAGAACUGGUUGGGUUGGAAUGGUCCUUAAAGGUCACAGAACCAUGGAACCCCAGAACUGGUUGGGUUGGAAUGGUCCUUAAAGGUCACAGAACCAUGGAACCCCAGAACUGGUUGGGUUGGAAUGGUCCUUAAAGGUCAGAGAACCAUGGAACCCCAGAACUGGUUGGGUUGGAAUGGUCCUUAAAGGUCACAGAACCAUGGAACCCCAGAACUGGUUGGGUUGGAAUGGUCCUUAAAGGUCACAGAACCAUGGAACCCCAGAACUGGUUGGGUUGGAAUGGUCCUUAAAGGUCACAGAGCCAUGGAACCCCAGAACUGGUUGGGUUGGAAUGGUCAUUAAAGGUCACAGAACCAUGGAACCAAAGAACUGCUUGGGAUGGAAUGGUCCUUAAAGGUCACAGAACCAUGGAACCCCAGAACUGACUGGGUUGGAAUGGUCCUUAAAGGUCACAGAACCAUGGAACCCCAGAACUGCUGGGGUUGGAAUGGUCCUUAAAGGUCACAGAACCAUGGAACCCCAGAACUGGUUGGGUUGGAAUGGACCUUAAAGGACACAGAACCAUGGAACCCCAGAACUGCUUGGGUUGGAACUGAACUUAAAGGUCACAGAACCAUGGAAUCCCUAGAACUGGCUGGGUUGGAA